rnacentral:rRNA from 1 species
AAUGAACGCUGGCGGCAGGCCUAAAACAUGCAAGUCGAACGCCCUAGCAAUAGGGAGUGGCGCACGGGUGAGUAACACGUGGGAACGUGCCUUUAGGUUCGGAAUAACUCAGGGAAACUUGUGCUAAUACCGAAUGUGCCCUUCGGGGGAAAGAUUUAUCGCCUUUAGAGCGGCCCGCGUCUGAUUAGCUAGUUGGUGAGGUAAUGGCUCACCAAGGCUACGAUCAGUAGCUGGUCUGAGAGGAUGACCAGCCACAUUGGGACUGAGACACGGCCCAAACUCCUACGGGAGGCAGCAGUGGGGAAUCUUGCGCAAUGGGCGAAAGCCUGACGCAGCCAUGCCGCGUGGAUGAUGAAGGUCUUAGGAUUGUAAAAUCCUUUCACCGGUGAAGAUAAUGACUGUAGCCGGAGAAGAAGCCCCGGCUAACUUCGUGCCAGCCGCCGCCGUAACAC